GUCGAGAAUCUUCCGCAAUGGGCGAAAGCCUGACGGAGCGACACCGCGUGCAGGAUGAAGGCCUUCGGGUUGUAAACUGCUGUCACGCCAUAGGAAAGCCAUGUCGUUAAUAGCUGCAUGGUUGACCAAAGCGAGAGGAAGCACCGGCUAACUCCGUGCCAGCAGCCGCGGUAAGACGGAGGGUGCGAACGUUGUUCGGAAUCACUGGGCAUAAAGCGCACGUAGGCGGCCAGGUCAGUCUGGUGUGAAAGCCCUCGGCUCAACCGGGGAACUGCAUCGGAUACUACCUGGCUCGAGGACGGUUGGGGUGAGUGGAACUCCUGGUGGAGCGGUGAAAUGCGUAGAUAUCAGGAGGAACACCAGUGGCGAAAGCGGCUCACUGGACCGUAUCUGACGCUGAGGUGCGAAAGCUAGGGUAGCGAACGGG
rnacentral:rRNA from 1 species